rnacentral:misc_RNA from 1 species
AGCAGCACGACCCUUAGCCUUACGAUCCAACAAAGACUUACGAUCCUUAUCGAGUCUGAGUUUGGUAACAACAACCUUAGAUGGAUUAAUGCCAACAUUAACAGUAGAUCCGUUAACCUUCUCUCUAGUUAUACGUUCAAUGUGAAUAACCCAUUUCUUACGGUACACUUGCAUAACUUUUCCUUCACGGCCCUUGUAGGUUCCUCUUACUACUUGAACUUCAUCGUCUUUCCUUACCGGGAUAGAUCUGACGUUGUACUUGGCACGUAACUCAGAUGAAAGCGGUGCGCUCAUCAACACCCUGCGAACGCUUGAUGGAGCAGUGAAAUGGGCCUUUCUGCUCUUGCGGCGAGAUGAGGAAACCCUUGGAUUGUACUUCAUUGUUGCAGAAUUGGAUUCUCACACUACACCUUUUUCUCU